CUGCGACGAGGCCUCUCCUCCUUGGCCAUCCUCUCGGGCUGGUGCCUUUGGAAGCACCGCAACCGAUGCCUGUUCGACGGCGAUCGACCCUCCAUCAGCUACAUCGUCCACGCCGUCCAGGAGGAGGCCCGGCUUUGGGCACGCGCCAGCGCCACAGGGUUAACGCACAUCAUACCCGAGACGUAG
rnacentral:rRNA from 1 species